UGGCUCUCGCAUCGAUGAAGAACGCAGCGAAAUGCGAUACGUAAUGUGAAUUGCAGAAUUCAGUGAAUCAUCGAAUCUUUGAACGCACCUUGCACUCUUUGGUAUUCCGAAGAGUACGCCUGUUCGAGCGUCAUGAAAUUCUCAACUCCCCUUUAUUGGGGUUUUGGACUUGGAUCUUUGCAACUGGAAUAGCGUUGCUGAUCUUAAAAAUAUCAGUCUAUGGGGAGUUUUGAGACUACUCGGCGUGAUAACUUUCAUCGUUGGGGAAAUUGAGACUUCUAGGGCUUUCUAACCGUCAUUCAUGACAAAUCAGAAACUUUCAAAUCUGACCUCGAAUCAGGUGGGACUACCCGCUGA
rnacentral:misc_RNA from 1 species